GAUGAACGCUAGCGGCAGGCCUAAUACAUGCAAGUCGGACGGGAUUCAGGAGCUUGCUUCUGAUGAGAGUGGCGCACGGGUGCGUAACACGUAUGUAACCUACCUUUAUCAGGGGGAUAGCCUCUCGAAAGAGAGAUUAAGCCCGCAUAAAAUCACAGCACAGCAUUGUGUAAUGAUCAAAUAUUUAUAGGAUAAAGAUGGGCAUGCGGAACAUUAGCUAGAUGGCGGGGUAACGGCCCACCAUGGCGACGAUGUUUAGGGGAUCUGAGAGGAUGGCCCCCCACACUGGUACUGCGACACAGACCAGACUCCUACGGGAGGCAGCAGUAAGGAAGAUUGGGCAAUGGGCGGAAGCCUGAACCAGCCAUGCCGCGUGAAGGAAGACGGCCCUACGGGUUGUAAACUGCUUUUAUACGGGAAUAAACCCAGAUACGUGUAUCUGGCUGAAGUUACUGUAAGAAUAAGGAUCGGCUAACUCCGUG
rnacentral:rRNA from 1 species